AAGAGAGACAGACGGACAGAGACGGACAGAGACACAGAGAGGCAGGUGAUACAUUACAAUAAAAAGGGAAACAGAGAAAUAGCUAAAAAUACAGAAAGAGAGAGUCUGGUAGGCAAACAGACAAACAAUUAUACAGAAUAACCAGUCAUAUUUCAUGCAUGUGUGUGUGUCUUAGGGAGAGCGAUGAGGUGGAUGUUAAUGUGUGUGUGUCUUAGGGAGAGCGAUGAGGUGGAUGUUAAUGUGUGUGUGUCUUAGGGAGAGCGAUGAGGUGGAUGUUAAUGUGUGUGUGUCUUAGGGAGAGCGAUGAGGUGGAUGUUAAUGUGUGUGUGUCUUAGGGAGAGCGAUGAGGUGGAUGUUAAUGUGUGUGUGUCUUAGGGAGAGCGAUGAGGUGGAUGUUAAUGUGUGUGUGUCUUAGGGAGAGCGAUGAGGUGGAUGUUAAUGUGUGUGUGUCUUAGGGAGAGCGAUGAGGUGGAUGUUAAUGUGUGUGUGUCUUAGGGAGAGCGAUGAGGUGGAUGUCAAUGUGUGUGUGUCUUAGGGAGAGCGAUGAGGUGGAUGUCAAUGUGUGUGUGAAUGAGAGGUAUACUAGCAGGGGCCAGAGGUGUGAGGGCAUAAAAACACAAAACAAAUGAAGGACAAUUAAUCCAGAUGACAGUCCCCUUCCUGUGCCUAGUUCAUGUCCCUACUGCUUUGCCUUGUUCUGGGGCUCUGUUGUCCCUCACAGCAACAAAGACACUAUUCUUCCCUAAACUGAGCGUUUCCUCUUCUGUGGCCCGUUUCUGCAUUUUGACACACACAAUUUCACACCUCAGUGGCGCCACACACAAACGGGUCAC